GGGGGUGCACCGGUUUCGACUGGUACGGUUCGGGGUGCAGGCUGCAGGUGGAGUUAGACCAAGGUCUAUAGACCAGGUCUGUGCCGAUCUCCUGAUUCGGCAAAUAAUUUAACUGCCAACAACGACAGUUACGAUUACGCCUUAGCUGCGUAACCGCGUGGAACCCUUCCGCCGCCUUGAGGAAGGACUUCCGCGUCACAAUCAGGGCUGGCCGUAUGAGACUUUGUUUCAUGUCCCGGUUCCGAACGGGAAACGGUAAGAUUUAGACGGAUACGGAGGGGCCGCGUGCCGUUUAGCCAAGCCAAUCCCGACAAUUCAAUAAACGGCUAAACCUGUAGAGGCUUGUAUUCUGCGUAUUAGGACGCGGGUUCGACUCCCGCCACCUCCAAAA
rnacentral:tmRNA from 1 species